rnacentral:rRNA from 1 species
CGGGUGAGUAACACGUAUGCAAUCCACCUGUAACAGGGAGAUAACCCGGAGAAAUCCGGACUAAUACCCCAUAAUAUGGGCGCUCCGCAUGGAGAGUCCAUUAAAGAGAGCAAUCUUGGUUACAGACGAGCAUGCGCUCCAUUAGCCAGUUGGCGGGGUAACGGCCCACCAAGGCGACGAUGGAUAGGGGUUCUGAGAGGAAGGUCCCCCACAUUGGAACUGAGACACGGUCCAA